AAAUCUCGAACCGAAGCCCUCGACCUCGUCGGAGCUCGGUUUCGGACCGUGGGGGUCUGCGGGCGGCAACGUCGGCUCUCCUCAAAUGCAUCAGCUGUGGGUGCGAACCUCGCACGGCGACGGCCUCUUCGACGUCAUAAUGAUCGUCGUGGGGCUGGAAGCGUGCGGGAAUCGGCAUGUCCCAUGCUUUCCAACCCGCUGCGGGACGACCGCACGCGUUUAUCAAG
rnacentral:misc_RNA from 1 species